rnacentral:misc_RNA from 1 species
AACAUAUACAGCAUAAUGGUGAAAUUUGGCAUUUCAAAGCAGCUACAAAUGAAACGAGUUAACUUUUAGCUAUCACAAAUUUCAAAAUGAAUUACAUUGCCAAUGCUACUCAGCGCUGGUUACAAUCAAACAAAAAUUCAGAUCUCACACAUAUCAUCAGCUCUAUGCUAAUAAUCAGGGAAAUAACAGUACUUCAGAUGACAUGUCCAAGGGCACAUGAUGCCGUAUGAUCUACAAAUACUGCAAACUUGUAAUAAUAUGGAUUGCAUAUACAGGUAGAGUGGUGAUAUUUGUAUAUGCCAGCUCUGAAUGGGAACAAAAUGAACGGAAUAUGAACGAAAUAAGGUGAAUCCGUUCCAUCUUGUACAAGAGUUCAGCAAGGCUACUUACUGUUCUUCAGGCUCUUGUUUUCUCCAUAACGAUCUAUUGGUUUGGGCACCACUUUCGUAACCACUACUAUCACCCGAUUCAGUUACACGCUUAUCUGUUUUCUCACCAUCACGGUAUGUUCGCCCAUGUUCUUUUCCAAUUCUGCGGUCAUCUCGGAAGGGGAAUUCAUCAGCUUCAAGCAUAUGUAUCACAUGCCCCAUCUUUGGCCUCUGUUGUGCAUUUGGGUCCACACAGCGUAAAGCUACUAAAAGGGCACGCUUCAGUGCCCUUGAAGAAGGCUUUUCUAGCAACCUAGGAUCCAAAACUCCCUCUGCAUUCCGAUUUGUAACCAUUGUUUUAAGCCAUUCAACUAAAUUCACCUGUAAGUUAGAUUUCAACAGUAAAAAUCAAAUAGAAAAACCUUGGGAAGAUUAUGUUGAACUGGUUGAAAUACAUCAUCACGUAAAUUUGGAUAAAAACCUCUCCUGGAGGGCGGCUGUAGUCAACUGGGUUUCUUCCAGAAAUGAUUUCCAUAAGAAGUAUCCCAAAGCUAUAUACAUCACUUCUUUCAUUCAGCAUGCCAGUACUGGCAUAUUCUGGAGCCACAUAUCCAAAUGUCCCCAUUACACGAGUGGUCACAUAACUCCGCUCUGAGCCUAAGAGUUUUGCGAGGCCAAAAUCAGAUACUUUAGCAUUCCACUGCCUAUCCAGUAAAAUGUUGCUGGAUUUUAUAUCACGAUGAACAACCUUGGGUUCAAGCCCUUCAUGCAGGUAUGUCAGCCCUUUUGCUGUUCCAAGUAUUAUAUUCAUGCGAAUCUCCCAUGUGAGAGGGCUGCAAGGCCCAACAUCUCCAUGAAGCCACUGUUCUAAGUUUCCAUUGUCAACAUACUCGUAAACAAGCAUCCUAUGAGCUCCUUCAGCACAAUAACCAAGCAACCUCACCAAAUUCUUGUGCCGAACCCGUCCAAUUGCUUCUACUUCGACCUUGAACUCCUUCUCAGCUUGUCCCCUGUUGUUAAGCAAAUUCUUGACAGCAACUUUAGUAUUAUCCUCCAUAACACCACGGUAAACGAUCCCAUACCCACCUUCGCCAAUCACGUUCUCAUCAGCAAAACCAUUAGUAGAGACCUCAAGCUCCCUGAGAGUGUACCAGUGGCCCCAACCCAAAUGUGAAACUUCUGGCACAGCUAUCGCCGCACAGGCCUGAUCACCGGAACGAGGACCGGACCGGGUCUCUCCGCUUCCAUGACCCGAACCACCAACUCGCUCCGGGUACGAUAUUCUGUGGUCCUUCCCAAUCUCAAUGUGAAUUCUGUUCCUCCCGCCGACAGGACUACUAUCUUCUUCAUGCUGUAGAAGCAGGACUGGUUCCGAUUCCGGCUCUGGGUCCGGACUAAGCGGUUUCGGAACAGGCGCCUGGUGUGAAGGGUCUAAGCGUAUCUCCUGGAUUUCCUUGGAGACGCUGGGGAUUGUGGGGUCGUUGAUAGACGACUUGAAUUUGGAGUGUGCAGCAGUGUUGUUAGUCUUGUUGCGUUUAGAAGUGAACCAGAGAGAAAUAAGGAAAAGAACAAGAACUAUAGCGGCCCCAACACAGACACCAAUAACCACCCAUAAACGCAAACCGAAGAUUGAGGUUCUCUUGGACAUCUGAUCGUUCAAGAAAGAAUACUUAGACAUUUGUUUUUCUUUUUUCUUCUUCUUCUACUUACACUUGUUGUCUGUUCCUUGCGGCAGAACUCACACAGAAACCAUUGUUGCGUAAACAGAAGAAAGAAGAAAGAAGAAAGAGAUGCAGAGCAAUAAGUAUAGAGCAGUGGUAUAAUCAAGAAUGGUUUAGAAACCAAAAGCAGAAAAAAAAAAAUGGGGAGACCGAAAGCAGAGAGUUAUAAAGCAGUGAACUGUGAACACAGUGGAGAAGCAAGUGGGGUUAGAGGCUGAGAAGGGAAGCAGCUGGCAUUGAUAGGGACUUGUAGAGAGCAGGAAUUGCCAAAU